AGCCACUACAAAGCAAUUUAUUUAAAAAGUCUCUUCCCAAAGUGAUCUGUCCAAAUAAAAGUGGGGGGGAGGUAAUUACUAGUUUUAGACUGAAAGAUGAAUUGCUCACUACUUCUUGAAAGAGUCACAAUAGACAAGAUGAGUUUUUGUUUUUUUUUUUUGUCUUUUUGCCAUUUCUUGGGCCGCUCCCUCGGCAUAUGGAGCAGCCCAAGAAAUGGCAAAAAGACAAAAAAAAGAAAAGAAAAAAAAAAAUCUAGCUCUGUGACAGAGAAAGACAACACAUGCACUUGACCCCAGAAGAUGAGGGGAAUUUUUAAACGCACAGUUGAUUCCUUGAAUCAGACUGGGCACCUAGCCUUUCAAGUUCAUGAAGUACUGGGCCACAGCUCUGACUCACAGAGAGGCUUUUCAAAGAGGUGAAAAAGCGGUGUUUUAUCAUUCAAAUUACUCUCUUCCCGUCAGGAUCCUAAAAGAGCUAUUUCUAUCAAAAUGAAAUGUCCUACUAACAAAAACACCACGUGGGAAGGCUGGAGCGGGUUCCGAAGCAGGCCUGGGGAGCGUGCAGCCCCGGGUUCCAGGUCUGGUAAGGGACUGCCGCUUCCUCGCCAAGGCCCUGGCUUCCUCACCGAUGAAGUGAAAGCAGUGUACCAGUGGGUUGGUCCUACAGCCCUUGGCUAAAUUUAGAGUCCUUGGGGCACCAUAAAAUCCCGUCUCCAGGGAGGCUUCUGGAACAAGCUUGCCUCUGCCUCGGUUUUGAGACAACUUUCCUCAUACCUGUGAUUUGGUUUCCCCAAAGUGGGCUGGAGAAAGGGUUGGGGAAGGGGCCAGGAAAAGGAGAGGAAAAAAACUUUAAGAAAGAAAGAAAGAAAGAAAGAAAGAAAUGACCUUAUCUAGAUACAGGGAGACUCAAUUUUCUCUCGUCAUCAGUUUUCUCCAGAAUUCCUUUCUCUGCGGCCCUUUAGCUCAGGCACCCGGAGCAAGCACACAGAGGCUAGAACCCACACGUGGUCAACUCCAAACUUUUUUUCCCCCCACAAACAAACUGCAAAUGACAGAAAUGGACCAUGGGAGAGGAGAAGCACCUGGAAAGGAAACACCACCCAAGACAUAUAUUAAAAACUGCGACGCAAGGACUGAAUUUAUAUCCUAACGCAAACACAACAAGUCGGGACAAUGCAAGAAACCUGAACACUGGCUGGAUGCUCGGCCGUAUUAAGGAGUUACUAAUGUUUAGGUUUGAUGAGGAUAUAUCAUGGUUAUGUGUCUUACAUGAAGCCUUAUCUCUAAGCCACAUAAACAAACAUUUUCCAACGAAUGUACACCAUGUCUGGGAUUUGCUUCAAAAAUCACAGGGGCAGGAUUAUAGGUGAAACAAGAUUGGCACUGAAUCUUGAAGUUGUGGGCGUGGGUACGGUACUGUUUGUUCUCUGUCUCUACUCUGUAUAUGUUUGAAAUUUUCCUAAUAGUUUAAAAGGAGAGACUUGCGGCUGCCUUCCUCUCCAAUUGACCUCGCUCUCAACUUACUGGGAGGGCAGGCAAGGAUGGCACCCGGACCCCAGGAGGCCGGCAGUCCCCCACCGGGAGUCCAGGGGGGCCUCUCCCCACUACUAAAACCCCCGCCCCUCCAAAGCCCCAGAAGGUGUCCGGCUUUUCCGCUUCCAUGGCCCCCCAAGUCCCCGAGAAGGGCGGAGGCGAAGCCCACUAGGUCGACGGGGAGACAGGGUGCGCAUCCUUGGUCGGCUCCCCCAAAGCUGGGGGCACCUGGCCGCUGGACCAACGUCAGACAAAGGCGUCAGCCGUG
rnacentral:lncRNA from 1 species